UCCCCCUCCUCUUCUUCUCCCCCCCCUCUUCCUCUUCUCUCUUCUCUUUCUUUGCCCCCUAGUUCAAGAUUUUUGUCAGUCAUACCAGAAAAUUUACUUUUUCAUUGAUCUCCAAAACACCACCCUACCAAUCUACUGAUUUUUCUUCCUUCUUCUGGAGUGAUGCGGAUGGAGCAAUGGGUGGAUGGAGAUCUGGGGUCCAGGGGUCUUUUCUGUGUCUCCCUGAACUAAAAAUGCUGAUAACUCUUUUGGGUUUGGAGAGCAAGGACUUGUAUCACUGCCUCCUAGGGACACACUAAGAGGCUCAGUGAGGACACAAAGCACGGUUUGUAGACCCUUAAGAGUCACGUUAGUGAUGCUUCCUUUUACUGAGAGAGAAGCCAUUAGACCAUUGACUUGAUUUGGAAUGAGGCGACGGAUCUUGUGGGCCUGGCCCAGGGAUGGCGCCGCCAGGAACUUCACAACAGGUGAGGAACAGACAACAAGUCAAGAGAAAACCAGAAGGUGUCCAGAGAGAAGGCCCUGUGUGGGGGAGACCAUGGACUGUAAGGAGCAGCCUCACACCUCACUGAGAUUGCAAAUGGGACAACCACAAAGGUUUGCUUUCCAUAAUUCUUCAACCAUCCAUGAUCUACUCUAUAUACUAAAUGAAAAACUGCAGAAAGUGUCUAUGCUGGGUACACUACCCACCAAGGUAAACCAUCCCUCUCCAGGGUGGCUGUGCUGUGUACAACACCCACCAAUACAGAGCAUCGCUCCCCAGGGUGUCUGCUGUAUACACUCCUUAUCUAUGGCUCUAGGAAUUCACCGGGGGUCUUCAAACACAUCCCAGAGAAGAAGAAGCCACUAUCGUAAUGAUAUACAUAUUUGCUACAGUCCCCGGUUUCCGGCACAGGCCUCCUGAGUCACAGUGAGUUCCUUCAGCUGUCUCAGUUCACAGUAAGGAUGGUGAUAACAUGUAAAUGGAACCAGACUAGCUUUGGGAUGGAGCCAGACACGGGAAAGACUGAUUAGAGAACUAGAACCUUCAUCUGUGCUCCUAUCAGGGUGACCACAGCCAGAGAUUGAGCUCUACAAAGCAUCAUGGACAAGGAGAUCUGAUGGGGUUGUGGAUAGUGAAUACGAUCACAGGCCAGAAGGCAUUGUACCCACUCUAUGAGAGCAGAAGCUCCUGUAUACUGGAACCUUGUGAACCCCGCCCAAUGUACUUCUCCAUCAAAUUCGUCACUAUCCCCUAUUAUAAUGAUAAAACGAAGGUUUUUUUUCCCUGGGGCCUUUUGAGACUUCCUAGCAAGUCAUAAAAAUGGAGGGUGUACACAGAGACAUAGUUUAUAGCUGGUCACUCAGGAGUGCAGGUGACCAGGUGGAAGUUGAGAUCAGAUGUCCAAAGAUGGCAGAGGUAGGGGCAGUCUUGAGGGACUAUGUGCUUAGCUUGUGGGGCAGAUUCAGUUUCUAAGUAGAGUGUGCUCUGGGAACUGUGCAUAUGUGUUUCCUCUCCUCUCACACUAGUGUACUUAUAUGGAGAGACCAGUAAGAAGCAGCUCAGAACCAGCUACUUGCAUGACUACUCUGUUUCAAUAGACAGCCAGUGUCCUCCGCUCCAGUGUGGGCUAAAUAUAAAACUCUUAGAAGGAAGCAAGGCCCACAGGUCCAUUGAUGGCAUGCCACAUGCUCUCAAAGUGUCAUUCACUUUGGGACAGCCUGGUGCCUUCCUCCACCUAUUCUUUAGAUUCUCGUCUGAUAUCACCUGGCCCUUCCGGCAAUGCCACAAAAGGUUGGACUUCCUCCCUUCCACUUUAACAUUUACCUGUUUUCUUUCAUCCUAACUGCUUUUAAAAAAAUUUCUGUGUGUGUGUGUGUGUGUGUGUGUGCGCGCGCGCGCGCGCGCGCGCACAUACACAUGUGCAUAUGUGUACAUGUGUGUAUGUGUACGUUUGUGUGUGUGCUUUUGUACAGAAGUUAAAGGUCAGUGUCAGAUGUGAUAGUUUGUAUUUGCUUGGCCCAGGGAGUGUCACUAUUAGAAGGUGUGGCUUCAUUGGAGUAGGUGUGGCCUGGUUGGAGUAGGUGUGUCACUGGGGGCUUGGGCUUAAGGACUUUCUUCCUAGCUACCUGGAGGCCAGUUUUCUCCUAGAAGCUUUCAGAUGAAGAUGUAUAACUCUCAGCUGCUGUGCUCCCACCUUGAUGAUAAUGAACUGACCCUCUGAACCUGUAAGCCAGCCCUAAUUAAAU